UCCUAACCAUCAUUUAAGACUCUCGGACACCUGCUCCACUGUGAACCUUUCCCUGACAUUCCCUCCAGGUCCUCCUGGGCUACUAUUAUUCACCUGGUCCAGACACGUGAAUGCGUGAAGCAGAAAAAGAACAUGCUGAGUGGUGACCAAAGCGAUUGGAGGAAGAAGAGCUGGGGCUACAAAGCUUUCAUGGAGGUUGCCACCCCUUCAUGCAGCCUCUGGGGGUUUUAAGAUUACAAGGCGGAACCACGUAUGUCAAGUGCCCCAUGUAAUUGUGAUGAAGCAUUCCCUGCUGGGCCUGUCUGAAAUGGAGAAGACAUGACAUUAUGGAACUGAGGAUCUUAGGAUUCAUCACCUAGCUGUAAUCUGAAGGACCUGGGGUAUCGCCCGGACUAAUCCCUACAUCUUAUAGGUGAAGAUAUUGAUCCUGGAGAGAGAAAAGUACUUAUCUCAGUUCACUCUGGA